AUCGCUUCUCGGCCUUUUGGCUAAGAUCAAGUGUAAAAAUUCCUUUCCAAUGAUCCUUGUUUUUUUUUGUUGUUCUGCAUAAUAACUGGAUGGAACAGCAAACGGCAUGUUUGUACAGUACAUCCUUGCACCAUGAGACAAAA
rnacentral:snRNA from 1 species